GCUCCAGCAGAGACAGAGAGGGCAAGCGCUCCCGUUCCUGACCCUGCGUGAGGCUGUGCCUGACCCUUCUGGGUGAGCAGCUGGUGGGGAACUGGCCUUCAAAAUGCACCACUUGUCUGACAGCAUGGAAAGUAAACUGUCACCUGCCAAUCCCUAUACCAUGGAAUACACCUCUUGGAAUUUACUUCAUCAAAUUUCAGUCUUAGGACUGAGUAUGGCAGGAAGCAAAAGGUUUGAGCUGGCUGAACAUGGUCCCCUGGGUUAGAAUCAGUGCUACUUACAAGCUCGUGACGUGCCGGGUUGGUCCCCCCGUGCAGAAGGUCUGCGAAUGGAUUUCCCCCAGCCUUGCAGAGGCUUCGUUCUUGUCAAAGCAUCUGCCCUGCAGGCCUGGGCAGCUGGGGAGCCUUGACCCUUUUCUGAGCCAGGCUCCCAGACAGCGCGAAAGAGCCCAGAAUAUGAAAACUGCCUCUCAAGAAAAACAUAAAUUAUGAAGUGAAAAAACAUUGCUUUCUGCCAGGAUAUGGUUUGUGUACCCCCAAAGCAGAAGGAAAAACUCCAUGGAGGAAAAGCGAGGCACUUCUCAGAGCCCUGAGGGGCCUGGUGGAGCUCCCAGUUCAACUGGAUGAACAGCCCAGGGCAGGUUUUGCACAACAGCUUUUGUCUCUCUGCAAAUCUCCUUUCAGACACAGAAGGCUGGUGAUAGCUUCCAUGUGUGAAUCAAAACCUAAAAGAUUUUUAUGCCGCACGCUCUGCUUAUGCGUGAUGGAGGGGCAAUGUUACAGCCUGAAGAAGAGAUUGCUCUGAAUUGUGCUUGCACAACACCCUAGCAAUAAUUGGGAAGUAAAACAGUUCCUGCAAGCCACUGGGGUCCUCUUGCAGAAACAUAUUCUCUGGAGGGCUCAGAAAGGUGGGAGAGGAGGCAGGGACAGGGGCAGCAGAGAGAGGACGGCAGCUUGCAGAGGGGUGAGCUCUGCCUGGAGUCCAUGAAAAUGCUGUGCUGAUUGAGAAUCUGCUCGUUAGGCACUUAUUUGUCCUGGGAGGUGUGCUAGGUUCAGCCCUGGCACAGCUCAAGGAAAGCAAAUGCUGAGACAACAGUUGGACAAAGCUGGAUCAGUCUUUUUAGUACCCUGGCAUGAUUUGUUGCAGCUGAGUCCUUCCAGCAAAUCCUUAAGAUUUUCAGCAGCUAUAAGCUUUUUAUAGCAAAUCAGAUUUUUGCACCCAUCUGGUUGACUGGUUAUAAACAUACAUCUCUCAAGUUGGCUUGUUAGGUUUUGUCAGUAUUAAAAAGGAAACCCACAAUGUGCAGCGGUGUAUUCAUCUGUAGCUGCUUUUGAUGACUUAUGCCUCUUGCAAAUGAACACAAAUAACCAAGAAAAGUGGUUUGCUUAUGAAAUCCUGAAGAAAAAAGCCUAAAACCCAGCGAAGCAACAGGUUGGCUUGUUGAAAACACCCAGGCAAGCUGACCAUGGUAGCUACUGAGAGUUGAGCACGACUGUUGGAUGUUGUUGGCAUUUUUGCUGGAUUAAAUGAUCACAUCUACAAAGGGUCUGAAGUGUUUUUACUGUUAAGAUUCUAGCAGCAAAGCUGAAAGAGGGUCACAGCAGUUUUAGACCUCACUGCUGCUUCAAGAUGUAGCCCAGGACAAACUUACAGCUAGCUCCCGACUGGCAGCUGGCUUUGAGGUUCAUCCCCUGUGGGAUGUGCAGGGCCCCAGAGCUGUCUGCAGUGUGCAAGGUGUGAUCUUGGCAAGGGGAGUGCUCUUCGUGGAGCAGCCGACUCUUUCCGCAGCGCCUUUCAGGCAGAUCUGCAGUUCUGAGCUUUUUAUAGCAAGUCAAAUUUCUUCACCCAUCUGCUUGUCUGCUUAUGAAAAUGCAUCCCUCUGGUGCACUUGUUACAUUUCAUUACUGUUAAGUAAAAUAAAAAGUCAACACACCUUGCCUACCAGUUUAUUCAUCUGCAUCUGCUUUUGAUGGAGUGCAUCUCCUAUAAGGAGGUGCACAGAUGCUCUGGAUGUGCUCAUCGCCCCCUGCCACAGCUUUCAGGUCCCUAAUAAUGAAAUCAACUUUGUUAAUGACAAGUGUAAAGGUAACAUGCAGCAAACUGAAUGGCCGCACUGGGUAGCUUUCCAGGC